GAUAGUGUAGCCCAGUGAUAGAGCAUGUGCUUCAUAUGUACAAAGCCCUUGGCUCAAUACCCAGCACCACCA
rnacentral:tRNA from 1 species